rnacentral:rRNA from 1 species
AUCGAUAAUCCACGAUAAAUUUCACUUUAAUUUAAAAUUUAUAUAUCGCCAUCUUAAGAAUUAAUUAAAAAAUAUUUCUCUAAAAAACAAAUAAAAAGUUAGGUCAAGGUAUAAUUAACAUUAAAGAAUUAGAUGAAUUACAUUAAACAUAAUUUUAAGAGUAUAAAUAAAUAUAUUCAUACAAAUAAGAAUUUAAAAGUAAUAUUUAAAUAAUAUUAUAAUAUGAUUAAGAUAAUAAAUGUGCACACAUCGCCC